rnacentral:lncRNA from 1 species
CUCACUGAGCUUGUUUCUGUCCUUUAGCCUCAAGGGCCCAUCCCCGAGUCCAGCGGAAGGCUCAACUCCACCAUGCGCUACCACUCAAGGACACUGAGCCUUCUUUGUGGCUGUUGGGCUGGGGAGAAACACAGGAUGUAAGCAGUGGCCUCCUCUGCUACCACAUCCAGACCUAUGCUGCUCUCUGGAGGCUUCUUACUGCUAAUGUUCCAGAGAAACACCAGCAAUAAAGAGCACAAUGUUGCAAUCUGUUUUUGCAAUUCUUGCUUGGAUUUGAUCGGACAUCGUUAAUGACAAAUGACAACGGGCCUGUUGGUGAGUGGGCUGGGGGCCCCCAGUUGCCCUGGGUCCUUCCCUGGGUCCGCUGAGGGCAGGUAGGCUGGGCUGCACGCAGAGGCUCAGCUGAGGGCCCUGGAAUGGCGAGUGAGCAGCCAGGCAGCUGUAGACUCGAAGCCGCCACAUGGCUGCCCUCUCAGUGCCACGCCCCUGCCACCGACACGUGG